rnacentral:rRNA from 1 species
ACACAUGCAAGUCGAGGGGAAACGACAUCGAAAGCUUGCUUUUGAUGGGCGUCGACCGGCGCACGGGUGAGUAACGCGUAUCCAACCUGCCCACCACUUGGGGAUAACCUUGCGAAAGUAAGACUAAUACCCAAUGACGUCUCUAGAAGACAUCUGAAGGAGAUUAAAGAUUUAUCGGUGAUGGAUGGGGAUGCGUCUGAUUAGCUUGUUGGCGGGGUAACGGCCCACCAAGGCGACGAUCAGUAGGGGUUCUGAGAGGAAGGUCCCCCACAUUGGAACUGAGACACGGUCCAAACUCCUACGGGAGGCAGCAGUGAGGAAUAUUGGUCAAUGGACGAGAGUCUGAACCAGCCAAGUAGCGUGCAGGAUGACGGCCCUAUGGGUUGUAAACUGCUUUUAUAAGGGAAUAAAGUGAGUCUCGUGAGACUUUUUGCAUGUACCUUAUGAAUAAGGACCGGCUAAUUCCGUGCCAGCAGCCGCGGUAAUACGGAAGGUCCGGGCGUUAUCCGGAUUUAUUGGGUUUAAAGGGAGCGUAGGCCGGAGAUUAAGCGUGUUGUGAAAUGUAGACGCUCAACGUCUGCACCGCAGCGCGAGCUGGUUUCCUUGAGUACGCACAAAGUGGGCGGAAUUCGUGGUGUAGCGGUGAAAUGCUUAGAUAUCACGAAGAACUCCGAUUGCGAAGGCAGCUCACUGGAGCGCAACUGACGCUGAAGCUCGAAAGUGCGGGUAUCGAACAGGAUUAGAUACCCUGGUAGUCCGCACGGUAAACGAUGGAUGCCCGCUGUUGGUCUGAAUAGGUCAGCGGCCAAGCGAAAGCAUUAAGCAUCCCACCUGGGGAGUACGCC